rnacentral:ncRNA from 2 species
CAUUCUUUUGGCGAUGGAGUUCGCCGCAACUAUCUAUACCGACUUUUCUCAGCAGAGGUACUCUCUGCACUAGUCGGAGAAGAUUGAUGACUCCUAUUUUUAA